UACGAAGGGUGCAAGCGUUACUCGGAAUUACUGGGCGUAAAGCGUGCGUAGGUGGUUUGUUAAGUCUGCUGUGAAAGCCCCGGGCUCAACCUGGGAACUGCAUUUGAGACUGCUCUGCUCGGGUGCGGAAGAGGGAAGCGGAAUUUCCGGUGUAGCGGUGAAAUGCGUAGAUAUCGGAAGGAACACCAGUGGCGAAAGCGGCUUCCUGGUCCGACACCGACGUUCAGGCACGAAAGCGUGGGGAGCAAACAGG
rnacentral:rRNA from 1 species